ACUCACCUACGGGGGGCAGCAGUGGGGAAUAUUGCACAAUGGGGGGAACCCUGAUGCAGCGACGCCGCGUGGGCGAUGGAGUAUUUCGGUAUGUAAAGCCCUCUCGGCAGGGAAGAAAAUGACAGUACCUGACUAAGAAGCCCCGGCUAACUACGUGCCAGCAGCCGCGGUAAUACGUAGGGGGCAAGCGUUAUCCGGAUUUACUGGGUGUAAAGGGAGCGUAGACGGCAUGGCAAGUCUGAAGUGAAAGCCCGGGGCUCAACCGCGGGACUGCUUUGGAAACUGUUAAGCUGGAGUGCAGGAGG
rnacentral:rRNA from 1 species